rnacentral:rRNA from 1 species
AAUUGUAAAUCUUAUUUAUUUUGUGUAGAGUUAAUAAAUUAGUUUGAAAAAUAAUUUAGAAUUUUAAGUAGUGUUUAACAAAAUUUUUUAAAAAAAAUUAUAGUUUACAAGUACUGUAAAGGAAAGUUUAUUAGUAGGAAAUUAUUAUAGUAAAUUUUAAAAGUUGUACCUUGUGUAUCAGGGAUAGUUAAUAUUAUUUAAAGAAUUAAUUAUCUCGAAAUAGAAACAGUUAAUUUUAUAUAAUUGUUCUUGUAGAAUAAAGAUGUUGAAUAUAAAUUUAAAGAUGAAAUAUCAAACGAGUUUUAUUAUAUCUAGUUUUUUUAAAAUUAAAUUUAAUUUAGGAUUUAAAGUGUUAAUAUUUAAAAUCUAAGUAUGGGAGGGAUUAGCUUUUCAUAUAAUAAGCUUGAAAUAGCUAAAAAUAUAAUAUGAAUUUUUGAAUUAGGCUUAAAAGUAGUCAUAUUUGUAAAGUGUUUUAACUAAGUAUAAAAUUUGAAAGUAUUUAUAUUUGCUUUUUGAAAAUAUAAAAAAAUUAUUGUAAACAAAAAAUAGUAAAAUAUAAUGAUUUUAUUAGUAUAAAUAAUAUUGUUAAAAAUAAAAAUAAAAUAGAUGUUGAAUUUUAAAUAUAGUUAAUAAAGUGUAAAUGAAUUCGGCAAAAAAUUUUUUUGCCUGUUUAUCAAAAACAUGUCUGUUUGGAGAUAUAAAAAGUUUGGCCUGCCCACUGAUAAAUUUAAAUGGCCGCGGUAUUUUGACCGUGCAAAGGUAGCAUAAUAGUUAGUUUUUUAAUUGGAAUCUUGUAUGAAUGGUUAGACAAAAAAAAAGCUGUUUCUAUAGUUAAUAAUUGAAGUUAACUUUUAAGUGAAAAGGCUUAAAUAGAUUAAAGGGACGAUAAGACCCUAUAAAACUUUAUAUAAAUUAUUAUUUAAUUAAAUUUUGUUAUAUAAAGAUUUAAUAAUUUAUUAUUAUUAUAUUGGGGUGAUAAAAAUAAAAUUAAUAUUAACUGUUUUAAUAAAAAUCAAAGUUAAAUGUAUAAACUAAUAGAUCCUGAUUAGAGAUUUGAAGUUUAAGUUACUUUAGGGAUAACAGCGUUAUUUUUUUUGAGAGUUCUUAUCGAAAAAAAAGUUUGCGACCUCGAUUUGAAUUAAAAUAUCUA